rnacentral:rRNA from 1 species
GAUGAACGCUGGCGGCGUGCUUAAUACAUGCAAGUCGAGCGGAAAGGCCCUUCGGGGUACUCGAGCGGCGGACGGGUGAGUAACGCGUAAGAAUGUACCCCAAAGUGAGGAAUAACUGCUCGAAAGAGUAGCUAAUGACGCAUGUGCUCUUCGGAGGAAAGCUGUAUGCGCUUUGGGCACAGCUUGCGUCUGAUUAGCUAGUUGGUAAGGUAACGGCUUACCAAGGCGACGAUCAGUAGCUGGGCUGAGAGGAUGACCAGCCACACUGGGACUGAGACACGGCCCAGACUCCUACGGGAGGCAGCAGUAGGGAAUUUUCCACAAUGGGCUAGAGCCUGAUGGAGCAACGCCGCGUGCUAGAUGAAGGCCUUCGGGUCGUAAAUAGCUUUUGUCUGUGACGAAUAUGACGGUAGCAGACGAAUAAGGAUCGGCUAACUACGUGCCAGCCGCCGCGGUAA